GCCUGUCUCGCUCUAUCUGCUACCUGGGAGUGGCUUCCUGCUCAUACUUUACAGCCAGCAGGGGCAUUGGAGAGCUUCCUGGUGGUUCUCAACUUAGGGCAGUUUAAAAUGUGUGGGGCCAUUUUUAGUUGAUUAGUUGACACAAUGAUGGGGCCUGAGGCCAGGGAGGCUUAGUGGUCUAUAAUGUAAGGGAACAGUCCCCAAGCAAGAAUGGACCUGUCAAAACACCAGGAGUUUCCCAAUGAGAAACCCUGUAAGCGUCAGUUUUUACACCUGAGAAAGUGAGGCCAAGAGAGGGAAAUGACCUGCCCAAUGUGAUUUUGCAAGUUACUGUGAGAAAUGGAACUUAAAUUCAAGUUCUGUAUCUCAGUAAUGUUUUAUUUCAAUCUACCAUUUGACCUCAUUGACUGUAACAGUCAAGGUGGCUAUUUUAGUACCAUAAUUUUGUCCAGGGCUGUGCAGAUUUGUGUUGUGUGUGGUCAUUCCUGAGGUUUCUCUUCCUUUCAGAAUUCCAGCCUGAUUGAAAGGACUGUUAUUUAUAACUUUAUUUUUGGCAGGGAGAGCCACCGUGGUGUGGUGAAAGUGUACUUGCCUAGCCAUCGGGAGACUGUCACCAACCAGCUGAGUGAAUCUCCACAGAUAGCAGACCCUCUCUGGUCUUUCAUUUCAUAGCUUCAAAUGAGGUUUUGAGCCACAGUCUCCCUGAGGUUCUUUCUAGGUCCUUGUUUGAAGUUAACACGAACUGGGUUGCAACCUACCUUGCACUUCUUUUCUGACCAAUGUCCUGUCCUCUUUAAGCUAACAAUAGACUAAAUCCUCCUGGAUCUUUAAAUUAUAGAAGUCAUGGCAUCUUAAAAUAGAAAUUCAGAUCCAUAGAAGUGAAGCGUCGUAAGAACAGUGACACUCUAGUGCGAACAACUGCUUAGCAGGCUAGAACUCACCCGGUACUCACCUUAUGAUGAGGUUGGAAUAAAGGCCAGUCCCCUGUAGAAGUGGCCACUUCCCCACGUGGCAUGCGGAGACAGGCUCUCCUGAUUACAUCUCUGAUGCUGUUGCUCAUCCCUGGGUUUCAAAUUGAACUAUGUUGCAUGCUAUGGAGAAAGAAGACAAUCUUUGUGAUUUCUGACAUCACAAAGGCCUCAGGAAGAUGCUGAAGGAGUUGUCUCAUGCACGAGUUAAGUGACAUAAGAGGCAUCAGAAGAAAUUGUGGAAGGGUCUAUUUGAGGGUUUGGAUGCUUCGUGCUGUACAAGUUUCAAGGCUGGAGAGGACACGCUUGCACAGUUGGGCAAGCUUUAUGUGGGAGCUAAGAUUUGAACUGGAUCAUAUGAACAGGGGAAGAAUAUGGAAAGUGAGGGAGGCAUCUUUGGGAACAGGAGUGCAACCAAGAUAUGAGGAAGGAGCAGAGUGUGAAGGCAAACCUCCUUGCUGAUAAGGAGCACACAGUGGAGAAUCACCGAGAGUGGGAGGUGAGAAGAGGCAUCCUCCCCAGGCCUUCAGUUGCAUGACCCCAGGCAGGCCCCUUCUCCUCUGGUCCAUCGAGUGCUUGCCUUGUGCUCAGCCCUUGUAGUUGCUCUUGGGAGAGCAUAGAACAGUGUGCUCUCUGGGAACUUCCAGUCUCAUUGUCAAUCAUUAAUUAUGUGUUGAUCUCUCUACUUUGAGUAUUUUCAGGUAAUUGGAUAUCCCAAAAUACUGACCUUUCGGUAUUACCUUCCAAGUAAGACCUGGGGAAACCCAAGCUGACCCAAUUCCCUUAAUCCACUUGUAGAAGGAUAUAAUUUUACUGAGGUUUUGAUUUAGGAAGAUUAACAUGCAGACUUGUCAAUAGCAUGUAAAAAUUUUAUGAUUUCCUUACUACUGCUACAUAAAAUACCAUGCCUCAGUUCUGUUGUAUUUCUAUAUCAUCUUAACAGUGCCUUGAAUUUAAAGAGUCUGCUUUCUCCUUCCCUGUGAUCUUCCGCUGGGUUUUUUGCUGUUCUUAGGAGGCCUCCGUGAGCUGGGCUCGUGGGGCUGCUGAGUCCACAGAUGUCAGCCCGGUUUGUGCAAGCUGGGAUUUUGUGUUUAUAUUUGCCAUUUAAUUUUUGUAAUUGUUUGUUUUCUCUAACAUCCUGUGACUGCCUAAAGGGGAGAAAUAGAUCGCAAGGAUGGCUUGUCUGGUUUGAAAACAAUAGUUUUCCAUGGAUGGGGUGGCAACCUGGAGGACUUGGUCUCCUGUUCCUAGUGCCAGCUCCUCACCUGUGUCUCCUUCAUCUCAGAGUGGCUUCCGGGCUCCUUUGAGACUAUCUGACAGCUCUUCCAUGAGGGCAGGGUCCCGAUACAGGGCCAUCAGCAUAAGGCCAUUCUUGGGAAUUUUCCUACCCUUUGUGCUUUCUUCCGGGCAUGCUAUGUUGUUUUUUUCUUAAUCUUCAUUCUUUCUCAGAAACCAAUUCACUUUUUUUGUUAUAAAGUUGUCAUAUUUUAAAAGUGACUCUUCUUCUUGAGACAAAUAAGUCCCAUGCACAGUUACUCCUCUGUAGCUCAAUGCAGUGCUGAGUUCACACUCUCUCUGAGUUAAGGAUAACAAGUUAGAUACAAGGGAAUUCAGAGUGAACAAGCUAGCUGUGUGCCUGGGCCAUUGGUUGCCAAGAAAGCACUUACAUACAUGCCCUAAAUAUGGAAGUGCAUGCUACUCAAUGGUCUGAUUCACCAAGAAAUUUUACAAAUGUGGACUGGCCCAGGCUGUCUUUCUGGUGAGAGGGUAUGUAAUGAACUCUUAGGAGAACUCUUAGGAGAUUAAAAUCAACAAAUUAACGGAAGAGCAGGUGGCUUGAGUCUGGAGGUACUUUCUAAUCUAUCAGGUCAGUGAUAUCAUUUCUUAAUCUGGGAGAAAACAACACAGAACCCUGGGUGGAAACUUGGGAUAGCAUGUGUGAGCCGUUUACUGUCAUCUGCCCCUUUCCACUUACAGUGUCUUAUCUGCCUUAUUUCCUUUGGACUUCACAUACCUUCCAGAAACCCACCAAACCUGCCUUUUUUGUUUUUUAAUGUGGUCAUUUCUUGGUUACCUGGAAGUGGGCAUCACACUCAGCCCCACUUCUCGCCCUCUCUACUCACCUCCUUCCCAGUUCAAACUCAUUCCAGUCAUUAGGCUUUAUUCUAUUCAUGACUAUGGGAAGUGAUUCUAAGGAGUUUUUCAUCCUCUGUGGCAUAAGAAAACCCAAGCGUUGUUUAGUUUUUGAGUUUUCUAUUCAUAUCCCUGGCCAUCAAACCCUGGAGGAGAAGACCAUCUGUCCAUUGUCUCACUCCUUCUUAGUGGGGGUGUGGGGAUGCCUGAGUACCCAUAGAGGAUGCCCUGGGGCUGACCUGAUGUCUUUGAUUUUCUCACUUCUCCUUGUCUCUUUUGAGCAAGAGUGGCAAAAGUGGAGUCCAGAGAGAACAGAAAGAAUACUGGGAUGAGUUUCUGAAUACAGCCAGCCACAUCCGGGAAGUGGAAAAGAACGAGACAUUGCCUCCCUCUCAGCCUUCAAGAUGCCAAGGUAGCAGAGGGCUUUGGCUAUGGCCAGCCCAUUCUUGCGGAGGACAGUUGGCCUGGGAGCAACACAGGCUGUAACAGAUUCAUGUGUUCUGCUGAGGAACAGCUGGGGAGAGAAUGGGGUAGAAGGUGGGGAAGUUUUGACCCCAGGAAGCAGGACAUAGGAUUUCCUGGGAUUUUAUAUCCUCAUCAGUCCUCUGUUACUUUCUUGUGGUACUUCCUAAUAAUAAAUUAGCAUCCAACUCUA